rnacentral:rRNA from 1 species
CCUACGGGAGGCAGCAGUAAGGAAUCUUCCACAAUGGGGGAAACCCUGAUGGAGCAACGCCGCGUGAAGGAUGAAGGCCCUCGGGUCGUAAACUUCUUUUAUAAGUGAAGAAUAUGACGGUAACUUAUGAAUAAGCACCGGCUAACUACGUGCCAGCAGCCGCGGUAAU